rnacentral:tRNA from 1 species
GGGGGUGGAUGUAGCUCAGUGGUUGAGCACCUGCUUCCCAUGUAUGAGGUCCUGGGUUCAAUCCCCAGUACCUCCU